UGUCGUGUCGUCGUGCUAAAAAUUACUGAGCAAACCUGAAAGUAAUUCAAAACUGUUUCAGAUUGAUCUUCACAUGGUAUUUCUACUCUUUUGGGCAAGUUUGGCACAUGGAUUACCACCGCAGUUCAACAGAGUGCAGUUUCCCAAGCCUGCCACAUCAUUUGCAGCCCGCACCGAUCAAUUUCACGCCGAUUUCCAAAGCCCCAAAUUCUCGGGUUCCAGCAGUUUAUUUUCCGCUGGCUUGUCGCCGAUUUCCACCGACUUUAAUACCUGGAAGCAUCAACAAGGAUUUUUCCAGCACCAAGCCCUGGACUUGAUAAGUCCUUCAGCUCGCAUUACACGCCGGAUUUCAGUGAUGGUUUAUGUGGGUUUCUGUCUUCUUUCGAUGUUUUUAUUUGCAUAAUUUUCCGUUGCUUUUCAGCUUAUCCGGACCCUUUCAUGCGCACUGGCAUCGAUGCGAAACGAAAAGCAGACUAUCUUUAUAGCAAGGAAUUGUUUUUCAAAGAUAUUCCCCAUAUAAGAUCGCUGCUUUUCAACCAGCACAAGGGGCUAGACAACGAUCUGGCUCCAAACCGGUUGGGAUCCUUAAGGCUGGGUUCUCCUUGGAAUCGGUUCAAGCGAACAGGCUCGAUUCGUGAGAGUAACAGCUUUUUCAAUUACAAAAACACCUUUUUCAAUUUGAGCUAGGAUGUUGAUUUAACUUAGCAACUAAAAAAUUAAAACCAUACAGACUAA
rnacentral:lncRNA from 1 species